AAAGGCCGCCACCCACCAUGAGCGAUGGAGCUACAGUUGGCAGGUCACCCAUGAUCCAUAAAACAUUGGAUGACAGGAGACCCAGGACCCAUGAAACAUUGGAUGACAGGAGCAUUUUUUGUUUCUCUCCUGCGAUGAUGUCGUCACCCAUCCUCAUCCUCCUGUCAGCAGUGCUGCUCUGGAUCGCCUGAGUGGAACCACCAGCUCAUGCUCUCCCAAAUAAAUGUGGAUUUUCUGGCGCGGGAUUGAAUGACAGGGUUUAGACAUUUGUCUUUGUCGUGAUUUAUUUUGGUGAUGG